GACAUCUACACUUUAGAGGGAGUAAUAGAUGGAGCGCCGUAUUCGAUGAUCACAGAUUUCCCUUGGCUUCGCUCGUUACGCACAGCAGAGCCCAACAGUUAUGCCCGAUAUGACUUUGAGGAUGAUGAAAGUACCACUAUCUAUGCGCCGCGGCGUAAGGGACAGCUCUCGGCCGACAUCUGCAUGGAGACCAUCGGUGAGGAGAUCUCGGAGCGACGGCAGACACGUAGGGGUGUUUUCCAGCGU